rnacentral:lncRNA from 1 species
UUCGAUUGAUGAAACUGGUUGGACCGCUUUGGGUAAUGCUUUCAUGUUAUUGUUGUUGUUAGUGCCUCUCUCUGGUACUGCUUCAUGGUUCCUCAAUGGGAGUAGUGACUUGGAUCCUACAGAGGUUGGAGUCAAAGCUGCACCUCCAGCCAUUGUUUUAUCAAAUUUCAACUGAGAUUUUGUGAGGAGUUUAUGGGUGUUAAGUAAGGAGAUUAUGGUGAAUUAUUAUAUGGUAGAGACACCAAAAGAAUGAUUGCGAAGAGUAGGAGAUUGUUAAGUUGUCAUCAAAAUUGUGAUUAAUAGUUAACAAAUUAAGUUUCUGGCAGCCUACUUCUCAACAUGAAGAUGAUUCAUGACAAUUGUCUUCUUGAACAGAGUAAUAAUGUUUUUAAACAUCUUGUAACUAUUUACAACCUACUUUGAUAGGGUAUGGCAGAGUUUAUAGAUAUUUUUCUCUGUAGCUUCAACUUGGGCCACGUGAGAGGAACGUGUCAAAGAGUCAAUUUCAACUUUUUAUAAUGAUUAUUGAUGAAAGUGAGAAUCAUAAAAGCAAUACGACACAGAAGACGCAACAUUUGACAGAAUAAUAAUGCAACAAAAGCUGAGUGGUCUCUGUGGACGUUAGACUAAACUAGUAUUGUAUUGAGGGCUUAAAGUAAGCUAGCCACUAAUCUUGAACUUAGUUUUGUCACUUUGCUCUGUCUCGGCCUGCGUCAUCAGUCCAUACAAAAUCUAUGAAUUGAUAGUUUUAUUUUAUCUCUCUUACUCGCUUACGUCACGGCUCUCAUCACAGAAACCUUUGAACACACGUCUUUUGACUGACAAAAAGAUCCGUACAACCAAGACAUGAAUACUUUUAUCAAACAAAACAACAAAACGCCUCCAGAGAUUGCAGCAACUACACACUCGACAGGCUCUUUUUUUAUCAUCAUCAGAGAGGGUUUAAUCAUUGCCAUCUCUCCACAAGCACCAAACGUUAUGUCGAUCAUUCAAUCACUAUGCUAAGGAGACACAGAGCAUUUCAAGACUUGAAGAAGCUUCUUUAGAACCGAGUGUAAUAGCUAUUUCUUAUCCACAAGUCUUCUCAGGCUUUUGUAAUGUGAGUCUCUGUGCCACUAGGAGAAAGAGAUCCAUCUUUAGUCUCAACAAUCUCUAUGCUUGCGGUUCUGCUCUUUCUGUUCCUCCUCUCCUGCCAACACAUGAAGAUAUUGUUUGAUUAUUACAAAUGCGGAAACAUAUAAACUAUUUGCUGCAUCUUUGGAUCAUCAUACCUGUCCAAAAGGGUGUUCUUCGGAUUCAAGCAUCCGCACAACCUGACUCAUUCUAGGACGUUUCUCUGCUUCAGGAUCAACACAUCUAAGUGAAACCAAAAGUGCACGUUUCAGAGCACUCUUACUUGGCCUAGGUUCAAGUCUUGGAUCAACAACUUCUUCGGCUCUUCUUGUUCCAACCAUCAUCUUCAGCCAUUCAACAAGAUUCACCUGCCAAUACACAGACUCAAAUCAAUAUCUUUUACAAAAACAACAAAAGCAAAACCAAUUAUGUAAGCCUAACCUCAUUAGCAGGACGUCCAUAAUCAACCGGAUCUCGUCCAGUUACAGCUUCAAGAAGCAAAACACCAAAGCUAUAUAUAUCACUCUUUUCAUUUAACAACCCUGAGUUAGCAUAUUCUGGCGCUACAUAUCUGAAAAAAAUAAUCAAAAAAUAAAGCAAUGAUUUCUUCUGUAAGGACAUUAAUAAUUAACCAUUAUGGCCUCAAUAGAGUACAAAGCUUUUUGGACAUUACCCAAAGGUUCCCAUGACUCUGGUAGUGAUGUGACUCUCACCAGAGUCCAAGAGCUUGGCUAACCCAAAGUCAGAGAGCUUUGCAUUAAACUCAUCAUCAAUUAAUAUAUUGCUUGCUUUUAUAUCUCUAUGGACCACUUUUGGUUCUAUUGCUUCAUGUAAGUAAGCAAGCCUGUAAAGUUGCAGACCACUUUAAUUAUUGAAGCAAUUCAAUAAAAGCUUAUACAGAUUCAAAACCACUUACGCUUGUGCAGUACCGAUAAGGAUCUUCAUCCUUGCCUCCCAAGUGAGGCUUCCAUGUUGCCUCAUAGCUCCGUGUAACCAUUGCUCUAAGUUACCACUAUUCACAUACUCAUAAACAAGCAUCCUGCGUUCAUAACCAUAAUUAGAACACAGUAAAGAUCAUUCUCAUCUGGUAAAGUGUCAAAAUGAUAAAAAGACAAGAGAGAGAGACUCACCGAUGAACUCCCUCUAUGCAAUAUCCUAAAAGCCUAACGAGAUUCUUGUGUCGUACAUGACCAAUAGCCUCAACUUCUACCCUGAACUCCUUCUCAGCUUGUCCUCUACAGACCAAAAUUUAGAAUGAGAUUGUAAAGAAAACGAAUCAUUUUGCAAUCCAAUUGACAACUUACAGAUUGUUAAAAAGCUUCUUCACAGCAACCUCAGUACCAUUGGCGAGUUUACCCUUAUAAACAACUCCAUAACCACCCUCUCCAAUCACAUUCUCAGCAGAGAAACGGUCCGUGGCAAGCUCAAGAUCCCUAAGAGUAAACCAAUGUCCCCAACCAAGAUGAGAUAUCUCCGGUAAACCAACCAAAGGAGACGCUGUCACAAGCCCUCCUCCUCCGUACUGUCUCCCAACGCUUCCAAAGCCUGCUUCAUCACCGGAAUGAGAACUACAAGCCCUCUCAUGGUGGUUAUUCACAGAGCUGCAUCUACUCAGAGUAUCAUUAUCACUAGACUUGGUUCUCGCCAAGUGAGACAUCAUCGUGGACUUGUUGUCAUUCAUUGCUAUAUAUAAACUCUCGGGUUGAGGGUUGUUGUGGCUCUGAAACCCUGCCGCCCUGUCGACUCUGAUGUCUUUGGACACGUGUGGUAUUUGGUUGAAAGAUCUUCUAGACUUGCGGCGGAAUGUGAUCCAGAGAGACAAGAUGCAGAGAAUCAUCACUAUGAACACUCCAACUACUAAACAAACCCAUACCCAUAGCUUCAGACCCUUCAGACCAAAAAAUGAUAUCUUCUUGGACAUCUCAGCGUUUAAAGAACUCUCGGAUGCCAUCUUCCACUUGCCAAAACUGUCUUUUUUUUUUGCUUCUCGUACAAGUUCACUGUAAUAACAACCAAGACAACAACAACAACAGUGUCUCAGAUUUAAACACUUUCAUACAUCAUACAAUGACUAUCAGAGACUCACACUUUCACAGAAACAGUUGAUAAAAAUGCAAACUUUCAUGGUAAGUUCAUUAAUUGAAUUUUGCGGCAUAUCAACAAACAUGUUAUGGGCAUUACGUGUCCCCACCAAAGAUGGGAGCUUUUUUAAACCAGAGAAAAGGCAUCACUUAAGUUUGAAGCAAGAGACAAAUUUGAAGAGAAUCAAACAGAUAAUGUUAUAUAAAUAAAAACAUUCAGGUUGGAAAAAAAAACGUUUUUUUCUUUCUCAUGAAACAAAGAAGAGAGCAUAAAUCUUUACCUUAGAAUGUGGGGUUUCUCUUUUGAUUUAAACAAUGGCAAUAACAGCAAAAAGGCUCCAUUUUUAUUUCCCUUUUUGGAGAAAAACAGAGAGAAAGGGAAGUAAACAGAGCAAAAUCCAACAAGAAAAAAAAAACAGAGUAUCUCAAAGAAGAAUAUAUAGAAAAUACAUAGUGAUGGAGAAAAGAAGUUUGGUGGGUCUGUAGUAAAGCUGGAGAGAAAGCUUUGUUUGCAAUGGAGGAAACAAGAGAGAGAGAGAGAGUAGUGUGAGCAGUGAAGGUGAAGGAAAGAUACUGGACUUGUCAACUGUGAGAUUUAUAGCUGGUUGAAAUAUUAAAAAAAAAAAAAUUUUACAAUUUUAAAAUAAUCAUUUAAAAAUUCAUAGAGAUAGGGGGCAAAGCACAGAAGAGGGAAUUCCCAAACACAGGCUUUGGAAUUUUAAGGUCAAUAUUAUUCUCACUCCUCAAUAUGUCUAUCUAUUUUUUCUUCAAGCUUGAUCCAGAUGAAACUUGUGGUUAUGUGCUCAUGUCUAAUGCUUAUGCUUCGUAUGGGCUGUUCGAAGAGGCGGUUGAGCAGAGGGUUUUGAUGAAGGAAAGACAAAUGGAGAAGGAAAUAGGGUGCAGUUCGAUUGAAGUAGAUUUCCAAGUUCAUGAGUUUGUUUCUUGCGGGAAAAGACACCCUAAAUCCUCAGAGAUUUACAGUUUACUUGGUGUUUUGAACUGGGACGCCUCUGCGUUAAACUCAGAAGUUGGCAAACAACUUUUGUCAUUAAAAGAUACUUAGGUAAUGGUUAUUACUGAUUUACCAUAAUGCAAUCAGUUAUCAUUUAGAUAAUCAUUAUGUUUUUAUAAGUUUUUUCUUUUUUACUGUUGCAGGUAUAAACUACAGAGGAAGAUUACUCUCUGUUCUUUCACCAAACUCAUGGUUUGAUCUUUGAUUCCAAGGUAAAUUAACUAUAUGGUACGUUGAUAUGAUGAACCAUGGAGAUAGGGUUAUGAUUAAGGUUUGGACAUGGCACGCUGCGCAGCCCCCCAGGAGUAGAUAUCAGAGCCCGAGUUUCCAUUAGUGAGCAGGUUCUGAGGCAGUCCAUGAAUGUCAUCUAAGGGACGGGAUCUUCCGUUCUGGUAGUAUUGCUGGUUGUGCAUAGAAGCAGCUUCAUCAUCAUCCAGAGGAAGACGAUCAAACACAGCGUUCAUGAAAGAUGCAGCCAUGAGAACAACGGGACCAGAUGCGAUUAGCCCACCAACCACUCCUCCACCCACAACCUGGCCUUGAGGGCCGGCUAAGUAAAUGGUCAAACCAGUGAUCCCAAGCGGUGCUGGUGGAGGCAGGAUUGAUCCAAGCAACGAGAGGAUCUCGAAACGUCCGUGUAAUGUCACAAUACCUCCUGAUGAAGCUGGCUGCCUUAACGUCACAUUGUUGACGCAGCCGUUGGCACUUAGUAUGCAGAGACCUCUCUGUUUCCUUCUUGCGUAAUCCGAUAAAGUCUCGCAGAUGUCAUUACCUGAGCUGAUCUCAACGGCGUGAGCUCUGAGGGAAUUGGGACUGUCGUGAGUGACAAUGAUUGGUGGUUUGGGUUUGUUCUUGGAGCCAGCUGGUCUACCUCGCGGCCUCUUAGCCAUCUCUCCUUCGAUUGAUGAAACUGGUUGGACCGCUUUGGGUAAUGCUUUCAUGUUAUUGUUGUUGUUAGUGCCUCUCUCUGGUACUGCUUCAUGGUUCCUCAAUGGGAGUAGUGACUUGGAUCCUACAGAGGUUGGAGUCAAAGCUGCACCUCCAGCCAUUGUUUUAUCAAAUUUCAACUGAGAUUUUGUGAGGAGUUUAUGGGUGUUAAGUAAGGAGAUUAUGGUGAAUUAUUAUAUGGUAGAGACACCAAAAGAAUGAUUGCGAAGAGUAGGAGAUUGUUAAGUUGUCAUCAAAAUUGUGAUUAAUAAUUAACAAAUUAAGUUUCUGGCAGCCUACUUCUAAACAGAUGAUUCAUGACAAUUGUCUUCUUGAACAGAGCAAUAAUGUUUUUAACUAUUUACAACCUACUUUGAUAGGGUAUGCAGAGUUUAUAGAUAUUUUUCUCUGUAGCUUCAACUUGGGCCACGUGAGAGGAACGUGUCAAAGAGUCAAUUUCAACUUUUUAUAAUGAUUAUUGAUGAAAGUGAGAAUCAUAAAAGCAAUACGACAAAGAAGACGCAACAUUUGACAGAAUAAUAAUGCAACAAAAGCUAAGUGGUCUCUGUGGACGUUAGACUAAAACUAGUAUUGUAUUGAGGGCUUAAAGUAAGCUAGCCACUAAUCUUGAACUUAGUUUUGUCACUUUGCUCUGUCUCGGCCUGCGUCAUCAGUCCAUACAAAAUCUAUGAAUUGAUAGUUUUAUGUUUAUCUCUCUUGCUCGCUUACGUCACGGUUCUCAUCACAGAAACAUUUGAACACAUGUCUUUUGACUGACAAAAAGAUCCGUACAAACAAGACAUGAAUACUUUUAUCAAACAAAACAACAAAACGCCUCCAGAGAUUGCAGCAACUACACACUCGACAGGCUCCUUUUUGAUCAUUAUCAGAGAGGGUUUAAUUUAAUCAUUGCCAUCUCUCCACAAGCACCAAACGUUAUGUCGAUCAUUCAAUCACUUAUGCUAAGGAGACACAGAGCAUUUCAAGACUUGAAGAAGCUUCUUUAGAACCGAGUGUAAUAGCUAUUUCUUAUCCACAAAGUCUUCUCAGGCUUUUGUAAUGUGAGUCUCUAUGCCACUAGGAGAAAGAGAUCCAUCUUUAGUCUCAACAAUCUCUAUGCUUGCGGUUCUACUCUUUCUGUUCCUCCUCUCCUGACAACACAUGAAGAUAUUGUUUGAUUAUUACAAAUGCGGAAACAUAUAAACUAUUUGUUGCAUCUUUGGAUCAUCAUACCUGUCCAAAAGGGUGUUCUUCGGAUUCAAGCAUCCGCACAACUUGACUCAUCCUAGGACGUUUCUCUGCUUCAGGAUCAACACAUCUUAGAGAAACCAAAAGUGCACGUUUCAGAGCACUCUUACUCGGUCUAGGUUCAAGUCUUGGAUCAACAACUUCUUCAGCUCUUCUUGUUCCAACCAUCAUCUUCAGCCAUUCAACCAGAUUCACCUGCCAAUACACAGACUCAAAUCAAUAUCUUUUACAAAAACAACAAAAGCAAAACCAAUUAUGUAAGCCUAACCUCAUUAGCAGGACGUCCAUAAUCAACCGGAUCUCGUCCAGUUACAGCUUCAAGAAGCAAAACACCAAAGCUAUAUAUAUCACUCUUUUCAUUUAACAACCCUGAGUUAGCAUAUUCUGGCGCUACAUAUCUGAAAAAAAUAAUCAAAAAAUAAAGCAAUGAUUUCUUCUGUAAGGACAUUAAUAAUUAACCAUUAUGGCCUCAAUAGAGUACAAAGCUUUUUGGACAUUACCCAAAGGUUCCCAUGACUCUGGUAGUGAUGUGACUCUCACCAGAGUCCAAGAGCUUGGCUAACCCAAAGUCAGAGAGCUUUGCAUUAAACUCAUCAUCAAUUAAUAUAUUGCUUGCUUUUAUAUCUCUAUGGACCACUUUUGGUUCUAUUGCUUCAUGUAAGUAAGCAAGCCUGUAAAGUUGUACAAAAUUGCAGACCACUUUAAUUAAGCAAAUUCAAUAAAAAGGUUAUACAGAUUCAAAACCACUUACGCUUGUGCAGUACCGACAAGGAUCUUCAUCCGUGCCUCCCAAGUGAGGGUUCCAUGUUGCCUCAUAGCUCCAUGUAACCAUUGCUCUAAGUUACCACUAUUCACAUACUCAUAAACAAGCAUCCUGCGUUCAUCAUCAUCAUCAUCAUCAUCAUUAUAAUACAGUAAGUUGUUGUUGUUAGUGCCUCUCUCUGCUACUGCUUCAUGGUUCCUCAGUGGGAGUAGUGACUUGGAUCCUACAGAGGUUGGAGUCAAAGCUGCACCUCCAGCCAUUGUUAUCAAAUUUCAACUGAGAUUUUGUGAGGAGUUUAUGGGUGUUAAGUAAGGAGAUUAUGGUGAAUUAUUAUAUGGUAGAGACACCAAAAGAAUGAUUGUGAAGAGUAGGAGAUUGUUAAGUUGUCAUCAAAAUUGUGAUUAAUAAUUAACAAAUUAAGUUUCUGGCAGCCUACUUCUAAACAGAUGAUUCAUGACAAUUGUCUUCUUGAACAGAGCAAUAAUGUUUUUAACUAUUUACAACCUA